CCUUGGGUAUACCCAAGUGGGGGACAGAUGCCACAAAACUCCCAAUCUCAAGUGAGAUAGGCAGGGGCGGGGGAGUGGGGAGGGAAACCUUUAGAGAAGGUACCCCAAAAAACUAUCAAUUACAUUGCCUUUACAAAAUUACAAAGGAAUACAAGUACUAGGCAAGCUAUCCUCUAGCUUAGAUUUGAGGCCGAACUUUGCAGCAUUGCUCAGCGAAACUGACAGCAGCAGCACACCAAGGAAAAUGCAGCAAAAAACAGCAUCAAGUCCAGCAGCAGCAGGUAACAGGUACAGUUCAGGUGGCCAACAAAAGUCUCAAGAUUGCCAAAGGCCAACAAGGCAACCGGUACACUUGGAUAGCAUCGCAUUCAUCAGCAGCAGAGGAGUUGGAUCAGUGGAUGUGUGGUGUUCAGCAAAGGCCACUGGUUGAAAUUCUCCAAAACCUCCAGGAAACGAGCUGGAGCCCCUGUGAAGCAUAGCAGCACAAGAUCAAAAGCAGUAUUAAGACUUCAGCGUUUUCGACUAAGCAGUAGUAAGACCAUACUGUACUCGAACUGCUGUACAAUCCUUCCAAAGAGUGAGGUUAAUGGAGUAGAACUUUGAAAUCUUCAUGUGGCAAGGUGAUGAGCAACCGCCAUUGCUGUUUUUCUGUUGUUCAAUACCACCUCCCCUUGACGGUUUUCCGCAAAACAGAACCAGGCUGCAAGUUCUUGAAUUUGCCUAGGCCUCCCUUGUUUCUUGUGUUUACCAACAGUUUUGAGAUCAUCUAAAGGAAGUAGACAAGCAACAACAGGAGGAAAAGGAUUGAAAGCAUUGGCAAUUCUAGGCAAUAAUCAAAUUUCAGAGGGAUAGCAGCUCCAUUCCAUUCGAGAUGGGCACGUACAACCUCAGGGGGAUAUAUUUCGUUUAAGCACCGAUAAAUAUCGCAUUGUAUGUUAUAGGUUAUCUUACUUUCCACAAAAGGUUCUUUCUCAAAAAUAAGUUUAUUUCUUGCAAACCAAAUGUGGUUAACUGCCAUCGCAAGUGUUAGGAUUUUCGCCUUCUGGAGAAUGGCAGA